GGAUUAGAUACCCUGGUAGUCCACGCUGUAAAUGGUGAGUACUAGAUGGUAGCUUUAAGGAGUUAUUAUCGAAGUUAACGCGUUAAGUACUCCGCCUGGGGAUUACGGUCGCAAGAUUAAAACUCAAAGGAAUUGACGGGGGCCCGCACAAGCGGUGGAGCAUGUGGUUUAAUUCGAUGCAACGCGAAGAACCUUACCUACUCUUGACAUCCUGGAGAGCUUUCUGAGAGGGAAGUGUGCCCGCGAGGGAAUCCAGAGACAGGUGCUGCAUGGCUGUCGUCAGCUCGUGCCG
rnacentral:rRNA from 1 species